GACGAACGCUGGCGGCGCGCUUAACACAUGCAAGUCGAACGGAAAGGCCUGCUUUCCCUUGUGGUUUGCGGGUACUCGAGUGGCGAACGGGUGAGUAACACGUGAGUGAUCUGCCCCCAACUUGGGUAUAAGCCUGGGAAACUGGGUCUAAUUCCCGAUAGGACUGCAGGGUGGUGCCUGUGGUGGCAAACGAUUUUCUAGUGGUUGGGGAUGAGCUCGCGGCCUAUCAGCUUGUUGGUGGGGUAAUGGCCUACCAAGGCGGCGACGGGUAGCCGGCCUGAGAGGGUCGACGGCCACAUUGGGACUGAGAUACGGCCCAGACUCCUACGGGAGGCAGCAGUGGGGAAUAUUGCACAGUGAGCGGAAGCCUGAUGCAGCGACGCCGCGUGGGGGAUGACGGCCUUCGGGUUGUAAACUCCUUUCGACCGAGAGGAAGCCACCUGGUUGGAAGGGUGGUGACGGUAGUGGUAGAAGAAGCACCGGCUAACUACGUG
rnacentral:rRNA from 1 species